rnacentral:misc_RNA from 1 species
AGAAUAGGUUUGAAUAUAAUCAAGAUCAUAGAGCGUCUAGAGUAUCUAAAAGCAAUCUAGAAAUAAUAGUUGGUAUAGUCUGUCUAGGUGUUAUAAUAGGAGUAUUCAUGGAUAGGAGUGGCUUGUUCUACAGUUUUGACUAUAUAAUCUGAUCUAAAUUUAAAACUAUUAGUGGACUUAUAUAUUAAUCUUGACGAAAUAGGUGGUAAGUUCCAAUUAUUUAACUUGUUUUCAAUAUUAGAUACUAAUAAGGAUUAAGUUCUAGGAGUUUGUUCUCAAAGGAACUCUUAAAAGAGCACUAGAAAACCUAUCAAUUCCUACACAUAGGAAUGAUACAAGUUGCCUUAAAACCUGCAACUAGACUAGGAUUAAACACCUCAGCCUUAGUCUGUGUCAGAGACAAAAGACACAAGGACUUCAAUGAUUCCUUAUUAGGAAUUAUAGAAUCAUCUCUCUGUGAUGGCCCGAUAUAUUUUUCGUGCUAUCCCAAUUUCACAAUUUCAAUCAGAGAUCCAAACAUUAUGCAGGCAUUAUCCUUGGAUAUACAAACCUCAGGAUAUAAUAUGUUACCAGGAUCUGAAAAUA